AUUCGUGUCGGUGCACAAUUGUCUCUCCUUAAAUCGUUCUCUAAUGACAAAAUGAUGUGCUUGUAUCAUAACGUAGAACCCGUCUAUAUUUUAGCAGCUACAACAACAAAAUCGUAAUUAAAGAUCGAGAGGAGACGCAACCUGGUCAUAGUUCCAACAUUGUUUAGGAUUUUUUCUUUCUUUUUUUCCCGAUUUUUGUUUGACUACGCCCGUUUAUCACAAGACUUGUCUGUACUGCAUUACUGUCAUUCCAUAUUCAUGUUUUCGUGUUAGCUAGCAUAAUUAAAAUCACAUGUUAAUAGUUGGUGAAUUUAUUGGCGAAAGCCAUAGAAAAUCUCAAAUCAAUUCCAGAACGAGUAUAGCCGACCUGCACUUAUGAUGUCUGAUGUAGUCGGCAUUUUUAGGGUAGCCUACUGUUGCACAUGCUACAUAUCAUACACAAUUAAUAAUUGCUUGCACUUUGGGUCAGACGUGUGAUCAAGCACGACUUCUAACCCAUCCACAGAUGGCUCCUGUCAAUCUAUUUAAAGAGGUUGGAAGCUUAGCUUUUUUCAUGUAGCAGACGCCAUUGUAAUAUGUGAAAUGGUUGCAUUGAGGAUUGGCGAUGCAGACGCCGCCGCAUUGCUCUCCGGUGCUCGGCUUUUGUGCGAUGUCGUUACCCUCCCAGUCACAGUUCCACAUCCAAAUAACUUGGCCGUUGUUUCCGUAAUUGUACACCUGACGAGGCUGUGAAUCAUCGGCAGAAAUGCAAGCGAUACUUGUCAACAGCAGCAGAAAGAACAAGCAAACUGGAGAUGUCAGAGUCAUUGUUGCAAAAAGGGUGUGUUUUUCGCUUUCUGUUUAGUGCAAAAGAAGAUUUAAAAAAUACAGUGACGUUAGACAUGUUUGAACAGGACGAAGGAAAACUUACAACAAAAUGGAGAGUCUGAUGUCACUCAACGAAAAAGGUACGACGUUUGGUGUCAAAGGAGUUGUUUCAGUCGACUGUGCCUUAUUCAGGAAAAACCUUUCCCUUUUUAUACUAGGAUACUUGUAUUGAACAAGUUUGCAUUCAUUUCUACGAAAUGUAGCCUCUAUCAAAAGGUCAACGUACCAUGAAGAGGACACAGAAGUGGUUUUGGGAGGUGUAGUUUAGGAUACGAAUGUUAUAUUCAGGAGAAAAGAGGGUGUCCAGUUAUAUCGGACAGUCGAUUAUUCUUCUUUGUGCUUGCUUAACGUUUUCUAGACUAUUUCUAAUCACGUAUGCAUAACUUUCGAUAUGAUACGACUAGAACAACUUGUUGCAAGACUGGCCGAUGUGUCCGGAUUGACCUUUCGGUCAUUGCCCUCAUUUCCUCCCCCUUGAGUUUGCAACUUUUCGUGUUGUGAGUUCAUUUCUUCCACCCCAUCUUCGAGGUGCAUUGACAUGUCAUUUACCACGCCCAAAAUUGUGUUUUUUUUUUUUUUUUUUUCAACGGGUUAUCACCGUUUCGGCUUAAUUGGCUACUGACAUGACAAGUGACAGCUUUAUCAGAGUCAUAGAAACUUGGUACAGCCACGCUUAUGGGUAGAGUUCCCGUCUUCCCGAGUCUGACCAUUGUUAUAAGCGCCGUGGCGGGUGUGUUGGUAAAUUUUCAAAACUUGGGAAACUUCUUCUUAGUAUAAGUUACAAUGUUUACUUGCUAUUUCUAUAUAUUUAAACUAGUUUAUCUCUCUAAUGGCUCCUGAUUACAUUUUCCGUUAUGUAUAACGGAAGAACAACUCAACAGAUGGCAGUCAAAAUAAUGGUCAAAUCGAUAUUUUAGCGCUUUUCGAUUUCGAUAGUAGCUUCACUUUUGGAAAAGAAAAAAUUCGACAGGGGGGUGUUUCCCCUGCAGUGGCUGUACCAGGUUUCUAAAACUCUGGCUUUAUAUUGCAAAAUGGACAAAUGUUUUGCGUUAUACAUAGUCAUCUAGCCAGUUACCUAUCAGGAACGAUAAAAGUGUUUUCAAACAGCACAUCUUCACAAAUUCCAGUGUAGCAAAAGCUUAAAUUGUUUGCGAUUUAUUUGCAUAUCAGUAGGCCUGCACCAAAUUCGUCAGGGAAUAAUUCAUGAUUCAAAUCAUCUGAAAUUUUUUUCAACGUAAAAAUAAAAACAAUUUCCGGCAACGGCGCAUUAAAAGUUCGACGCUAGAUGACGUUAUUCGCAGGUCUCAUUGAUUCCGACUGCCUUUGAUGGAACACCAUGCUGGCGAAGAGUAAAUGAACCAUGCUGAUCCCUUCUCACGUUCAAGUUCAAGUUCAAGUUCAACGAGGUUCAAGUUCAACCAGGUUUAACUGAAGAAUUCAAAAAAGCAUAUUUCAUAUCCUAUCAUGAUGCAGUCUCCACACCACAAGGGAGAGGGACAUCAGAUUUCACAACCAGUUUUCCAAAAGCCGAGUCAAUGAUGGAAUCCUUAUGAUGGAAGUAUGAGGUUGUUGUAAUAUUAAACAUGGUGGCUGUUGAUGUUUAACAGGACCCUGGACCCAACAUGUUGGCUAUGCUGAGCAUUUCUGGCAUUGGUUCAUUGAAAAAAGCCCAUCCAAAUUACAGCUAACACUCAUGGGAUUAUAUUCAGACAAAACAAUUUUUGGAGAAGGUUUCGAUAACAAGAGUAAAGGAAAGGAUUCAACUUGGAAACAGUUGCAGAGUUUAUAAGAUGAAUCCUUGUGACUGUAAUUCUCCUGAAAUAUUUGUAGUCCAUUUGAUCAGAAAAGGAAAAUUAGUAUGUGGGUAUGCUUAGCAUAUGGAACUUAGCCUACCUUCACACGUGCACGUGCUAUUAACUCCCAGGAUUGUGAAAAAUUAGACAGGUUGUGCCAUCACCGUCAAAAGGUUGCCUUAGAAAAUCCAUGGGUUAAAUAAACAACGUGUGUCGAUUUAAAACCCAAUAAAACGACUUUUCCGUUGUUACUGAGUGAAACAAGAUUUUUAUAACAUAAAAAAAAAAACAUGUGGUUGGAAUAGUUAAAUUUUGAUGUGCUUCUCUACAGUAAAGCACAGCGCUGACAACUUAACAACCGUCCAUCAUCGGCCUCUUUCCCAUUUACAAUUGCUCGGUAUGUCCGAAUAGCCCUGCCACUCGUUGAAUGAUAACGUUAUAAAUGCGAUUUUGUUUGACUUAAAAAUUUUGAAACUUAUUUAGACCAUCCUGGAAAAAAUCCUGAAAUUUGGGAAAUUCAAAUUCGCCAUUAUUCGCAAACUCUGCACUACCACCAAUAUUGGUUCCAGGUCGCUCAGUUUGCCGUGAUUUUCUAUGUCGGUCUGUUGGCUGCUUUUCAACCGUAAGGGGCUGCCUAUAAGCCCGGUGACUGCUAUUGCCAAAAGAGCCAGAAAGACUAGAAACAGAUGCUUUGGAAUUUAAAUUGAAAACAGGUUAUCAUUCAGAUAUUGUUGUUCUAUGAUUUAAAUAAAAGAAGAAACAAACUGGCUUUCCUUACUGGAGCUGUGAUAGUGUUAAGCUCAAGAAAUUGACUGAUGCACAAACCAGGAUACUGGGAAGAAUUUAUACCUAGUUGGAAAAGGUUACGCCCUCUGCAGAAGAAACCGAGAGAGUUGGGCGAUAUUCAAAGUUUCUCCAUUGCUCUGGCUUUUCCAUGUGAGAUUGUACGCGGUUGUGGGCCUGCUGCAAGCUAUUGAUUCUUCGACCGCUUCAGCUUUCCUCAGGUUAGACAAUUUAAGCAUGCACUGCGAAUUUUAUUUGAGUCCAAUGGAGUCCAACGACGGCAUUUUAUUCCCUCGGAUUGUCUUUCCGGAUGAGCAAGACUUAUUUAUCGGUAGCUGUCGGAAAUCUUUGGUCAUACACUUCUGUGAAGUAGACCAAAAAAAAUUCCUGAACUAAGUUCAUGAAAAAUCACGAUUUUGGCCAAAUCCAACUUUUGGCUAAAAACACAUCGUUCCAACCCCAAAUUUGAUAAGGAUCACAAAAAUCUUACUCGUUAUGUUAUGGGAUCACUAAUUCCGGAAAUAUUGGAUACUUCCGGUUACUUCCUGGAUAUUUUCUUGACAAUUUGCUAAAAGUAAAAAAUUAGCUGUAUUAUUCUAACAAUUUCAAAUGUUUUCUUGUAUGCAUUAGGGUGUUGCAGCUUUUAUUCCGUGUUUUUCUUGCUAUCAACAUUACAGGCUGGCCCUACGAGCAACGACAGUUUUAGCUACAAAUGUUUAGCACCUCGUCUUGCAACUAGUAGUUUCCCGAUAGGGAUUCUAUCAAAACUCGCAUUUCCCAACCCCCUGAUACAGGCACCCCUACCCUUCUACAACGACCCGUGGA